CUCAGGUUGGAGGACUCCAAGAUGGCUUUCUAGAAGCAAAAUGGGUCCUUACUGGAGACUUCAACUGGCACUUUGAUGUUGGUUCUUUGCUGUGCCUCUCUCAGAGAAGUGAAGAUUAGAGAAGAUGCAAGACCAAUAAGCAUUGCACAGCUAGCUCUAUAAGCAAGCCAGGUUCAGCCCUGGUCACUAAGUCCUAUUAAUACCCUCCAAACAUCCUGUGUCCUCCACAGGUCUUGCCUCACCACAUGCAUCUGUCUCAGCUGACAUCACUCUGCCAAUCGGCCCGCAAGAAGCAGCAGCACACCACCAGCAGAUUUUCCUGUGCAUUUCUCUCUAUGGAGUUCCAUCAAAUGAAGUUCAACUACACAAUUUGUUUGAAAGCUGCAAGAAAAGUAGCCACUACAACUGACAAAGGGACUUCGAGGAAUGAGAAAUCUGAAGAGGAAGUAGUCAUUGUGAAAUGCCAUCCUAAGAGCCUGGUAAACUGAGUGUCAGUGGCCCUGCCAGUGAUCUCAGGACUUACAAUGAGGCAUCUUCCAGCAUCCACCGUCUCUCCCUUCAUGCUGAUCCACUCUGCCCUUCUAAUUGCUUCUUUUAUACCCUUUCUGUCUCCUUCAUUACCAAAUAUAUAUUUUCAUUUUUAACUUGAAUAUAUCAAUUAUUCAUA